GAUCACACUCUGGGAUGUGGUUUCUAAACUAGGUCGGCAAGACCUCGAAGGCUGUCUGAUAACCAUCAUUAAAGGGCUUUGCAGCCUUGGUGGGCCUUAGGGCCUGCAUAGGUAGCUGGAAAAAUUGGCUGGGAAAACAGCAGCCAACUUGGCUCCAUAAGGAAUAGUUAAUAAGGCUGUGAGAUGGAGAGGCACUUCUGAAUAGAAGCAGGGGCUAGCUGGGGCAGACUACAGGCACAAGGGUUUGCUUCACAGAAAUGAACCUACUUUCUGCUUUCUGGGUAAAUAGAUUGCAAACAGCCUGUCUAGCCCAAGACCCAAGGAGGGUAAAGCUUUAUAGGCUCAAGUAAGUGUAUAUUUAUGUAUGUAUAUUUAAUUCUGUUCUAUCUUCCCUAUUUUUUGACUAAGCUUUGCUUUCUUUCAGAUAAUUUUUUUUUCCAGGAGUAAAUUCUUGCAUAGUUAUGUCAAUUGAAUGAAGGACUCUGCAGCAUCUCAGGAAAAACAGUGACUGUAAGUAACUGAACUCUCUGGUGUGUCAGGUAGGACUGCAUGCUUGGUGCUGCAUACAGUAGGGUGAAGGAAUGGUAUAAAGUAGUCAUGCUUUUUUAACCCCAAGAAAGAUUUCUUACUUUUUUCCAGAAUACUUCUACAUUUGAUUUUAUCUCCCUCCUGUUUUACUGGGAAAGGUAUCUGGCCCCACAAACUACUCUGGAGAAAAAGGAAAAGCAAGUUAUUUUCUGGUUUUAUGACUACUAUACAGUGUUUCAGUUACUGGAUGGUUUCUUCCUGCAAGAAUAGAUUCAACAUAAAUCGAUGGAGUGUGGUAUCACUAAUUUGUAAGUAACAAAAAUAUCGACUUUUAUAGAAUUCACUGAACUUAAAGCUGAUGCUAUCCAUUUAAAUUGGUACCUAGUACUUGUCACAUUAUGAUAUAGGUGUGAAUAUGCUUUGCCAGGAUAUGUAUGCACAGCAGAGUAAGUACACACUUAAGUACACACCCACACAUCCCCAUAUGCUUUGAACAGAUCUAAAUGGUGACUGAAGGAUGAAGAAGGCUGAGCCACAUAAACAUUAUCCACAAUGACUAUUAAUUUCAAGGCAAGGCAAUAAUUUAUAAAGGUUGUUAGGAAGCAAUGUAAAUGCAAAUGCUCUUCUAAUAAGCGCCAGGAGUAUUACGUUGGGACGUGUUUGUGAUUCACCAGAGUGUGUUAAGCAGGGAAGAGCGUGGAUGAUUUCUGUGGAAGAUGGUGACAAGAGUAAAGAGGUGAAAACUGACAGGAAUGUGGCGUUCGGGGACUCAGUCCAAGGAAUAGCUCUAGCAUGGGCUGACUUAGCAGUGCAGUAAGCAGUGCUUGGUGCUGGAGCGAGGACGAGCAAUAUCUGGAAUAAUGAAUCAAUAAUUCAUUAUGGAAAAAUGCUACCAGCUGUAAACUUAAUUUGUAGAAUAAUGCCCUGCAGUAAUGCCAAAAGUUAUAAAUAUAUUCAUACUUUUUUUGAAACAGCUAGUACAAGCUGAAGCCAAAUGCUUCAGUCAUAUAUAAUAUAUAAUAAAGCUGACUUAUAAAAAAAAAAAGAAAAAGAAAAGGUUUCUGAUGGCAGUCAGUGAAAAUAAGGCAAUUAGUAUAGAAUCCUUAUACUGAAAAUAGCACAUUUAG
ensembl:lncRNA